rnacentral:lncRNA from 1 species
CUUAAGUCAAGAACCAAAUGAAGCACCAGAGUACAGAUUAUGGAGCAGGUUCCUUGUAAAGAUUAACCCAGGGAAGGAUCGAAAGUGGAGAAGACCAGAUCAAGAAAGACUACAUCAAGAUCUGCGGUCAGUUCAAAGGAUGUUUUGCAUUGGACUGUUUUUUUUUUGGCUUUGACCCUUGCUUGCCCCUGACCUCACUCUUGGACUGCCCUGUUGGAUUUUCAGUUUAUUUAAUUUAAAAAAAAAAUUUUGGUUCUGGGUAGAUGCUAAUAAAUAUUUAAUUGUAAUUAUUU